GGAGGGUGCAAGCGUUGUCCGGAUUUAUUGGGUUUAAAGGGUGCGUAGGCGGAUUGUUAAGUCAGUGGUGAAAGUCUGCGGCUCAACCGUAGAAGUGCCAUUGAUACUGGCAGUCUUGAGUACAGUAGAGGUAGGCGGAAUUUAUGGUGUAGCGGUGAAAUGCAUAGAUACCAUAAAGAACACCUAUAGCGAAGGCAGCUUACUAUGCUGUAACUGACGCUGAGGCACGAAAGCGUGGGGGGAGCGAACAGGAUUAGAUACCCUGGUAGUCCACGCUGUAAACGAUGAUGACUCGCUGUUGGCGAUACACAGUCAGUGGCCAAGCGAAAGCGUUAAGUCAUCCACCUGGGGAGUACGAUCGCAAGAUUG
rnacentral:rRNA from 1 species